rnacentral:lncRNA from 1 species
GCUUUUGCAAGGUUACCAGUUCGGUUUUUCAUUGGAGGUUUUUGAAGAUCAAGGGAAUUAGAGAGAGGAGCUUCAUGCUUUGGGUCGGGGAAGGAAAGACAUAGAAUUUGGAUUUUUCUUCUUCGUAGAGUUUUAGGAAGACUGAGGCAAUCGCUGCUGAAGUCAGUGUUGUAAUGGUGAAUCGGGAUUUUUAAAUGAAGUGGGUUUGAAUACUCUUGACUGUUUUGUAAAAUCGAGUUACGUCUGUGAUUGAAGGAUUAAAAGGGUGUCUAUAGGAUUGAGUAUGCGGAGAGAAUGAAGUUUAUUGGGUUAAUCUAACAAGACAGUCAAUGGAAACAAGAUCGUAAGUACAAAGGGGUAUUGAAGAUUAACAGUUUGGGUUGUUCGGGGUUCUCUGUAACGUCUACAGACCUACCGGCUGGGGCAAAAAAAAAAAAAAAAGACUUCGACAAGCAGUCGAAGAGCACCCGUAUAGAUUUACGGUACAUUGUUGCAGUCGUUUAUAUUUCGGCAGUCAAAAACUGAUAGACUGCUUGACUAUCGGUGAAUCUCCAUACUACCUUCUACAGCCAGACGCCCGGCGCGUUCUCGAGCAGGAAAGCACGUAAUACGACAUAAGUGGUGAACCCGACGUGAAAGCUUGAGGUAGAAGGUAUUGGAUUUCGGUUGAUUUUAUCUUUGUUUUUAUGGAAAACGAAAAUAAAAAUUUUGAAGGAUUUUUGGGAGAAGUUUCUGGUGGGGAGUCUUCUAAAGGACAAGGUAUGCACAUGGAUCCGUCUAUUGCUAGUUUGUUUCAAGCCUUCUCAUUGUCAAUGCAGCAACAGCAAAGCAAUGAUCGAAAGGAAGCUUUGGCAACCAAAGCAUUGCAAGCAGUGGUCAAUAAAAUUGAUCAAUUUGAUGGGAGGAAUAUUUCAAGGUAUUUAAGAUGUUAUGUUCGUGAAAUGGAAUUAAAUCGGGUUUCUGAGAAGAAAAUGGUUGCACUAUUUGGACUUGCCACGAUACCAGAGAUAAGGAACCACAUUACAUCGAUUACGGAUCGUUGUGGGAAUUCAUGGGAGGAUUUUUCACAUGCAUUGAAAGACGAAUAUUUCUUAAAAGAUGCUGAUCACGUUACUAAGAAGCUGUUUCUGGGAUGGAUUGAACGGCCCAAUAAGAAUUUGCAAGCAACAGAGCUACUAAGGAAAUUUGAGAGGCAGUACUCUCAAUUAUCGAAGGUAGAAAAAUUGACAUUGGAGCCGAACAAAGUUGAUCUAUUUCUUCAAGCUGCUGAUGGAGAAUUGCAAGAGAAAUUAGAACCCCUUCUUGAAGACAAAGAAGAAGAUGAAGGAUUGACAACAAAGUGGAAGAACGUUGAAGAUGCGGUGGGGUUGCUUACAAAAAAAGAAAGGAGGAAGGAUAGGAGCAAUAUUCCGAAAACAGUACAAGCACCCAAAGCUCGAGUACGUACAACACCACCGACAAUGCCUACAGUUCAACCUUCGACAUCCUUGUCACGGAAAGCAGAUAUGAAUAUAGAAGAAAUUAUACAAGGAAUACGAGAUCUUCAAAUCAAAUUGGCAAGACUUGAAGAGAAUACUUCUAUAAAUAAUUCGAAGAAUGUUUCAAAACAAGGAUAUGUACAAAGAUGCAUUUGGUGUGAUGAUGCUUCACAUACUAGAAAAGAUUGCAAUGAAUUUAAUAAUAUGAUACGGCAGGGAAUUAUUUGCUGGAAAGAUGGGAAGAUAGCAUUGAAAGAUAGGGAGGAUCUUCUUCAAACCAAUUUUGGCAAGGGAGGAAUGAGAGCAUUGGUUCAAGAUUACUUAAAAGAGCAUGAAACAGUAGUACGAGAAAGUGCAAGUUAUGGUGCUAGAGUAGAUGAUGCAAUUGGUGGAAGUACGGAAACUAGUGAGUUUUGGGCUUCUGCCGUCUCUACAAUGCAAGAAGGAAAAUGACCUCGAGAAGCGUUAUUGAGAACUGCAGCUACAAUACAAGGAAGAACAGGUUGGGAGGAUCCUGUUGAGUCUCUUUCAGUUCAUGCAUAUAUUGCUAAGAGCCAACAUGAAGCUUUGAUGGAAGAAAAAAGACGAGGAAAUUUUGAUGAUACUAGAGAAGGAAAUUCUUUUAAGAGGCAAAUUCGAGGAGACAAGGCUCGGGAGGCAGCUUCACAAGAAUUGCCUGUAAAGGAUACCUCAGCAUCAUUGGGAGAAAAAACAACGGAGACAAAAGAUAAGAGCAAAUCAAUUGCUUAUAAGCUACUUUCUGACAUUGAAGCGGCAACAAAUUUGAAAGGGGUGUUGGAAGAACGUAUAUUAAACGCUAAGGUGGAAUUCACAUUGAAAGAAGUCUUGGGAAUUGCAAAGAAGGAGUUUCAUUAUGUUAUCAUUGACAGCAUUAAGCGAAAGAGGCAAUUAAUGAGCGAAACUGGAAUGAGUCAUGCUAUUGAUGCAAGAAUAUGUAGAGAUGAAGAAGAGGUUGAUAUUGGUUACAAGCAACCAACAAAUGAAAAGAAUGGGUAUAAUCAGGGAGUAUGUUUCGAAGAUUCUAGUGACAAGGAAAUGGGAACUUUGAGCUAUUAUACUCGAAAGCAUUGGGCAAGGGCAACUACUGAGGUAUUGGUGAAGGUAGGAGAUAUAAAAGAACCAAUAGUUGCUUUGGUGGACCAUGGUUCUGAAAUAAAUCUCAUGUCUAAAGAUCUUUAUAAGAAGCAAAAAUGGCCAAUUGAUAUGGAACAUGGAUGGGCAAUACGAGCAGCUAAUAACACACGGGGCAAAUUAUAUGGAGCUUGUCCAGAUGUCAAAAUUCGGAUUGGGGAUGUUGCGACGGAGCAACAUUUCUUCGUUUAAGAUACAACGUCUUAUCCGUUGAUUUUAGGACAACCUUAUAUCAUGGCAACACGGAUGGAAACAAAGGUACUUGACGAUGGUUCUGCUUAUGCAAGGAUACGGAGUGAAGAUGGGAAGAAAGCUGUACAAUUUCUAACAAUACCUCCUAACCAUGAACGGAAUCAAGAUAGGUUGAGGGAGAAACCAUUGCCAAAGAUUGUUGAAGGAUUUAAGGAUUUUGGGGAGGUACCACUGUAAAGCGAGAUUAUGGAGGUACAAAAGAGGAGGUACUCUCGCGAGAUGAAGGUACCUUUGAUGCGAGUUUUAUUGGUAUAUUGGAGAAUGGAAAUAUUAUGUAUAAGAAAGUUGAUGAUUUUAAAAGAAAAGAAAGAAAAAGAUUAUAUGAUAUUGAAGGACAGUUACGCAAGAUAGAUACAUUGCAAGAUGAUGAGAGGAUUUUGGGUGUUUAUGAAGAAAAUGGACUGGAAGAUUCAUUGGAAUUGAUUACAUCUAUUGGGUUAGGGGAUAAUGAUAAGAUUGUUGAGAUUCAUUCGAGAGAGGUUUAUACCAUGCUUGAAUCUUUUCAAGCACCAGAAGUCACAGUACAGACGAGAUAUAAAACGGCAGAUAAGAAGGUAAAGCCUGUUGCCGGACCAUUACCAGAGGAUUCUAAAGAACAAAUGGGAGAAGCAUCAAAAGAAGCAAGUUUAAGAGAUCCAAUGAGUAUUGGACAUCAGUUUACUGAAGAGACUCUUGAAGAAUUGAAGAUUGGUUCUGAUGGUUCUUUAUUGCCAGAGGAAAUUACUUGCUUCAAAAAGAUGUUGGCUAAACAAGGUAGAUCGUUUGCCUUCGAAUCUCAUGAAAUUGGGUGUGUGGAUCCAAAUAUUAUAACACCUAUGGUUAUCUUCACUGUAUUGCAUGUACCUUGGAAUCUAAGACCGAUUCCAGUACCGAGGACACAUUUACCUAAAUUGGUGGAACUAUUGAAAGAAAAGAUAAAGAUGAAAAUAUUAGAACCUUCAUUUGCGCCGUAUUCUAGUCGAUGGUUUACGGUACCUAAGAAGAAUGGGUCACUACGAUUUAUUCAAGAUAUGCAGCCGGUGAAUGCUAUAACUGUCAGGAAUGCAGGAAUUGGACCUAUUGUGGAUGAAUUUGUUGAGGCGUUUGCUGGAAGGGCGAUCUAUUCAAUGGGUGAUUUGUAUUCAGGUUAUGAUCAAUUUCAACUUGCCGAAAGAAGUAGAGAUAUGACAACGAUGAGAACACCGCUUGGAUUGGUUAGAAUGUGCACUCUUCCUCAAGGCGCGACCAACUCAGUUGCGCAUAUGAUGAAUGGGAUGAAUAAGGUAUUGAGAGAUUUUAUUCCGGAAAAGACUAUGCCUUUUCUGGAUGAUGUUCCUAUAAAAGGGUGCAGAGAAGGAGACAAGGAUGAAACUUUAGAUACGAGGGGGUGUCGCAGAUAUGUUGUUGAUCAUAUACAAGAUUGUGAAAAGAUUUUAACUCGGCUUGGAGAAGUUCAUCUUACAUUAUCGGGUAUGAAGUCCAUAUUUGGAGUGCGAAAGGUUGUAAUUGUUGGACAUUUAUGCGGAUCUUACGGAAGAAAACCAGAUCCGACUAAAGUUGAUGCAAUUGGAAGGAUGAAAGAGGAUUGUGAUUCUUUAACAGAGAUUCGCAGGUUUUUAGGUUCAUGUGUAUUUUAUCGCAUCUGGAUCCCUCAUUAUGCUCACAUAGCGGAUCCAUUAUAUGAACUGUUAUGCAAGGGCUACUGAUUUAAAUGGGAAGAAAGGCAUAUUCAGAAAAUACAAAGAUUGAAGAAAUUAUUGAUGUCAUCUCCAAUAUUGAGGAAGGUUGAUUAUAAGUGCAAUAAACUAGUGAUUCUUACUGUGGACACUAGUCCAAUUGCCAUUGGAUGGAUUGUGGAUCAAGAUGAUUCAAGUGGAAAUAGAUUUGCAGUUCGAUUUGGAGCUAAGAUUUCGAUUUUGAAGUAUUCGUCAGCGUGCAUAUUCGCAAGUCAAAAGAAAACUUUGGAGAGUUGUUUUGGCUAUGAAAGCUGAAAAGGAUUAUUUGAUUGGGGCAGUAGUAGUAAUUCAAACAGAUUGCUUGCCAUUGCUUGGAAUGAUUAUUAACUGUUCGACACCAGAUAUUGCAAUGUUGAGAUGGAUUGCUUAUAUUAAGUCACUAAAUCCAGAAUUUAAGCAUAUCAUUGGAAAGGACAAUUUAGUAGCAGACAUGCUAUCUCGAGCAAGAUACGAGAGGGAGGACGAAAUGGUUGAAGACAUUGAUGAUGUCGGAUUGAAAUUCUAUUCAAUAUCAAAUCUCAACAGAGAAGGCAAGCUAUUUCUUGAAGAAUCUUAUGAAGGAGAAUUAUUGGAUAUUGGUCAUUAUUUGAAUACCUUGUCUAAGCAUGGGAAUUGGUCUACAGAAAAAUUCAAACAAAUAAGAAAAAAAGCAUAUGGAUUUUUACUUCGAGAUGGAUUCUUAUGGAAGAGACCGAAGAAAGGAAUUGGGAUGCCACAACGAGUGAUAGGCAAAAGGGAAGAAAAACUAAAAUUAUUAAAGGAGUUUCAUGAUAGUUUAUGGGCAGGGCAUAGAGGAAUCUGGGCUACUUUUGCUAAACUCAAGGAACGAUAUUGGUAGAAAAAUAUGUAUCGAGAUGUGCUCUCAUUUGUAGAGUCAUGUGAAAUUUAUCAAUCGUAUUCUAAUAUCCGACAUCGAGAUGGUCUUCAUCCUACGUAUCCUCUGGCUAUUCAUUUUAAAUGGGUUGUUGAUUUGGUUAUUAUGCCAGUUGGGUUAUGGCAGAUGAGAUAUUUGGUUUUAGCUCGUGAAGAUUUAUCAAAUCAAGUAGAAGGAAGAGCAUUGAGGACAAAAUCUACAGAGGGAAUUUGUAGGUUUUUGCUUGAAGAUGUCAUUUGCCGUUACGGGUGCGUAGGAAAAAUCACUGCAGAUCGUGGAGAAUUAAAUGCACAAGAAGCUCGUAAGUUCUUUGAAAAAUGUGGAGUUAAACUAUCACUGACUACUGCUUAUAAUCCGGAAGAGAAUGCGAAAAUCGAACGCGGUCACCCGUUGAUUGUGAAAGCAUUGGUUAAAGCUUGUAAUGGGAAAGUUAAAGAGUGGCCACGGCUUUUGUCAUUUGCAUUAUGGGCUGAUCGAACAACACAUAAUUCGGUCACAGGAUAUAUGCCAGUAGAACUUAUGACAAGUCAAAAACCAAUUAUGCUGAUUGAAGAAAAGGUACUUACUUGGAGUAUGCUACCAUGGGAAGAUGGAUUGACAAGAGAAGAACUUCUGGCUAUUAGGAUUCGACAAUUGGAGCAAAGAACGGAAGAUGUCCAGAUAGCAUUGAAAAGGUUAAAAAGAGCAAGGUUACAAAACAAGGCGCGAUUCGAUAAGCAACAUCAAUUGAGACCAAAAGCAAUCGAGGAAGGUGACUGGGUACUUGUUUAUGACAAUAGUCUGGAUAAUCAACAUAGUACUUUGCGGAAAUUUUCAAAACGUUGGUUUGGACCCUAUGUUGUAACAACUGUUCAUGAUAAUGCGACUUACUCAUUACGGGAGUUAGAUGGUACAAAAUUGAAAAUACCAAUUGCAGGGAAGCGAGUAAAAAUAUUUAAACGAAGACAUGCGGAGAUGAAUAUGGAAGACCUUAAUGAAGGUACAGAGAUUCCGCAGCAAGAAGAUGAAAGUGAUUUGGAUAAUGAAGGUGACGAAGACGAACUGGACAAAGACGUAGGGGAUAUAUUCUGAAUCAAACAGCAAUUGGGUAAAUUGAUGCAUACCGGAGGAUGCACAGGUUCAGAGGGGGUGGAUGUCGUGUUGUAAUACAAGUAUACAGUGAAAAUAAAAAGAAAGGGGAAUUUUAUUAAUAUUCAGUUACCUCGAAUAUUGGGAGCAUCGACCAACUCUAGUACAAAUACUGAGUGGUCAGGUUCAGUCACUCCGUUACAGUCAGCCGGGGCAUACUGAAAUGCUCCGUUCGAUUCCAAUAACGAGAGUCAGCAGGAAGAGAAGGACCAAUUCACACGAUGGGUUCGAGGAGCCAAUUGGAUCCAAUUUCGAUAAUCCAAUCCGGGUCUUCUUAUCCAAUAUGAGACCUGAAUUGGCCGGUCAACCCAAUGCAGUCUAAUUACGGGAAAUCCAGGUCUUACUACGGGUCUUAGCCAAUCUGACGCGAGGACCAAUUUGACCCAAUUACGGGAACAUCCAGGUUACUACGGGCAUCUUUCCCAAUAUAGGACCUGAAUUAGUCGGGCGACUCAAUGUGGUCCCGAUUACGGGGGUUCGAUUCUGUUUCAGGUUGUCCUGUUCUCUGUGCCGUUUCAGGGAACAUUGUUUUCGAUAAAUGGAUUUCUUAAAGGUAAAAACAGAGGAGAAAGCUCUGACGGCGAGAGCCAAUUUUGGAUCCAAGCUUGACAGCGAGAGCCAAUUUCAGAUCCAAGCUUGAGGUGGGAGCCAAUUCCGGAUCUAAGACGGAAGAUUGAAGAAAUUCAGAGGAUAAGGUUAGGGGGGGGGGGGUUUUUUUUUGGGGAAUCGGGGGGAGAGAGAGUUUUCAAGCUUUUGCAAGGUUACCAGUUCGGUUUUUCAUUGGAGGUUUUUGAAGAUCAAGGGAAUUAGAGAGAGGAGCUUCAUGCUUUGGGUCGGGGAAGGAAAGACAUAGAAUUUGGAUUUUUCUUCUUCGUAGAGUUUUGGGAAGACUGAGGCAAUCGUUGCUGAAGUCAGUGUUGUAAUGGUGAAUCGGGAUUUUUAAAUGAAGUGGGUUUGAAUACUCUUGACUGUUUUGUAAAAUCGAGUUACGUCUGUGAUUGAAGGAUUAAAAGGGUGUCUAUAGGAUUGAGUAUGCAGAGUGAAUGAAAUUUAUUGGGUUAAUCUAACAGGACAGUCAGUGGA